rnacentral:piRNA from 1 species
UCCCACAGAAUGGGAAGAGAGGGAC